rnacentral:rRNA from 1 species
UACAGAGGGUGCUAGCGUUGUUCGGAAUUACUGGGCGUAAAGGGCGCGUAGGCGGUCUUUCAAGUCAGGCGUGAAAGCCCCAGGCUCAACCUGGGACGUGCGUUUGAUACUGUUAGACUAGAGAACAGGAGAGGAAAGCAGAAUUCCUAGUGUAGAGGUGAAAUUCGUAGAUAUUAGGAAGAAUACCAGUGGCGAAGGCGGCUUUCUGGACUGUAACUGACGCUGAGGCGCGAAAGCGUGGGGAGCAAACAGG